AAGCGGAGGAAAAGAAACUAACAAGGAUUCCCCUAGUAACGGCGAGUGAAGAGGGAAGAGCUCAAAUUUUAAAUCUGCCUUGUUCCAAGGUCGAGUUGUAAUUUGAAGAAGCGUUUUCUUGGGCUCGCGGCCGGUAGAAGUUCUUUGGAACAGGACAUCAUAGAKGGUGACAAUCCCGUCCGUGACCGGUCGUGCGUUCAUYUACGAUACNCUUUCAAAGAGUMGAGUUGUUUGGGAUUGCAGCUCCNAACGGGUGGUAAACAUCACCUAAGGCUAAAUAUUGGCGAGAGACCGAUAGCGAACAAGUACCGUGAGGGAAAGAUGAAAAGAACUUUGAAAAGAGAGUUAAACAGUACGUGAAAUUGUUGAAAGGGAAACGAUUGAAGUCAGUCGUGCUGGCGCGAAAUCAACCCUCUCGUCUUGAGAUCACAUGGCGCGACGAGCCUCAAAACCGUCACGAAGCGUGAACUCUUGACGAAAAGGUGCACUUUCGUGUCCGCUGGUUAACAUCAAUUUCGAACGUCAUAAAAAGGCUGGAGGGAUGUGGCUCCUUCGGGAGUGUUAUAACCUUUAGCGGAAUGUGGCGUUCGGGAUUGAGGAUUGCAACGAAUACCUUCAGGGCUGUUCCACCUGGCUUCUCAUUGGUAUCCUGGUGACGACAGCUUGCUGACGUCGUUAGGAUCAGCUUCUGAACAGGCUAGAGUGUGAGCAAAUUCGUUAAGGAUGUUAACGUAAUGGCUUUAAACGACCCGUCUUGA
rnacentral:rRNA from 1 species